UGCUAUCAACACCCACAGCUUCGGCGGAGAGCCGUGCAAACGCAAGCAGGCUUCCGGUUUUCUCUGCCUGUUUCUCCGCGCUCUUCGCUCCUUCUCUUCCACUUCUUGCAGCUUUUCCCUCGUGCUGUGCUCUUGAAGCACUACCACAGAAGUCCUGUGUGCUGAGGGACAGGAUUUGAAGAUUUAAAGCAUAAUUUUUACUCGUGAAAAUUCUUGAAAACUGUCAAGCCUGGAGAUUUUGUGGAAGGUUUUGGGGCACAACAAAGAGUGAAUGAAUCCCAGGAGGAACGACAGCCGUAAGGACAAGCAUGCUGGAACAUAAAGGAAAUGGUGAUUCUCUGUGUGCUAUCCCUCAGUCCUCCUGGGCAGAGAGCAUUGUUUCCGGUUGGAGAUGCGCUGUUUGAUACAAGCAGACAGAAUCUGUGAUGGGAAUGAACAACCUUUUACAUAACUGGAAAUCUUCCAUCUCGCCUUGCAGGAGUGGAAAGAAACCUUUCUGACUUUGCUUUCAUCUAAAAGGCCGUGCAUGUCUCUGUCAUUUUGACUGAUUUGGAAGAAUGGAAACAGUACUGAGUAGUGGAAAAUAUCCUGAGGGCAUGAUGGCUCCUGGGAGUGAAGAAAGCAAGAAAAGACCCGGACAAGGAAUGGCAGCUGAAGGUACAGAGUCAAGAGCAACCUGACAAUGACUUUUCCUUGGCUCUUCAACACCUCCUUUGCACACUACGAGAACAUCAUCCAGGAUGCAUUUGGCCCCUAUCUGUCAUGAAAGCUUGGUGAGAUAUUUCUCUGGAGCUCCUCCAGCACUGAAGAAGCCACAUGGCAUCCUUUUACACCUCCGGGAACGAAGGGAGGAAUUCAAAGAACCUCCCUUUCUGACUGCUUCCUUGAUUGGCUCCAAAAUACCAGUUUCACUUAAGUGUUGGCUCCGUAUGCUCAGAAAAUAUUACCUUCCCGGUUCCUCCUUUUCAGACAGACUUGGAUCUACAUUAUUCUACUCAUUUGUUCUUCUUAUGACAUAAGUUAUAAUUCAGUGCAUAAAGUAAUAAAGUUAGUUGUUCAAGAGCCAGUAAUUAUUUGAGUCACAGAAAAACAAAACUUUGGCAUUCUCUAAAAGAUCAGAAUGUAUGAUUAUUAAUAACCUUUACCAUUAUAUUACUUUGUGUGAGCUGAUUGUCUUUAAAUAUAACAUGUUCUCAGAACUAUUUUCUAAUUAAAUUUUUUUUCAUAUAUUCUGAUCAUGUUUUUCACCUCCCUAAACUCCUCCCAGACCUCCUCACUUCCCUAUCUACCUAACUUCAUCCCCAAACUCCUCCCAGACCUCCUCACUUUCCCAUCUACCUAACUUCAUCCCCACACUCCUCCCAGACCUCCUCACUUCCCCAUCUACCAAACUUCAUGCCCACACUCCUCCCAGACCUCCUCACUUCCCUAUCUACCUAACUUCAUCCCCACACUCCUCCCAGACCUCCUCACUUCACCAUCUACCUAACUUUAUGUCCUUCUCUCUCUUUCUUUAUCAAAAACAAAAUGAAAAUAAAAAUAAACAAAUAAAAACCCAGCAAGACCAAAAGAUACCAAAAUGAAACAAAAGGUGAUCCCUACCAAAACACAAGCCACAGGGUCUGUUGUGUGUGGGCCAGCCACUACUGGGCAUGGAGUCUGCCCUGGAGUAUGGUUGAUACACCUGUGCCACAACACAAAGAAGAAUGAUGUUCCUUUUCCCUGUGUGUGUGUCAGUUACAAAUAGCUUCUUGGUUAUGGUUGGAACUUUAUGUCUGUUUCCCCUUUUUAGUGCUAAGAUUUUUUUUCCAGUCUGAAGCUGUACAGGUGUUUUAUGUGCUGUCACAGUCUCUGUGAGUUCCUAUGUGCAUCAGUCCUGUUGUCCCUUGAAGACACUGUUGCCUGAGUCAUCCAUCACCUUUUCACUUCCUCUUCUAAAGAGCCCCCCAAAUUCUAAAGGCAACAGUUUGAUAAAGACACCCCAGUUAGGACCGAGUGCCCAGAAGUCUUUCAGUCUUCACACAUUGUCCUGUUGUGGGUCUCUGUGUUAGUUCCCAUCUACUGCAUGAAGAAGGUUCUCUGAUGAGGGUUGAGUGAGGCACUCAUCUCUGGGUA